GGAGUUAAAGUGGCAUAUUUAAGUUGUAUUUUCCUCAUUUGUGUCUCAAAUACUCCAAAAGAAAACUUUCAAGACGAACGGCAUCCUGCAUAAAUUAUUAAUUUUAUAACAGAUGACUUGUGUUCGUGUGCAGUA
rnacentral:snoRNA from 1 species